AGCAGCCGCGGUAAUUCCAGCUCCAAUAGCGUAUAUUAAAGUUGCUGCAGUUAAAAAGCUCGUAGUUGAAUUUCGGGAUCAAUAUGUCGGUCGUGCCUCGGUACGUACUGGCUUAUUGGUUUCUCCUUUCUGAAGAACCAUGAUGUCAUUUAUUUGGUGUCGUGGGAAAUCAGGACUGUUACUUUGAAAAAUUAGAGUGUUUAAAGCAGGCUCACGCUUGAAUACAUUAGCAUGGAAUAAUGAAAUAGGACGUUUGAUUCUAUUUUGUUGGUUUCUAGGAUCGACGUAAUGAUUAAUAGGGAUAGUUGGGGGCAUUAGUAUUCAAUUGUCAGAGGUGAAAUUCUUGGAUUUAUUGAAGACUAACUACUGCGAAAGCAUUUGCCAAGGAUGUUUUCAUUAAUCAAGAACGAAAGUUAGGGGAUCG
rnacentral:rRNA from 1 species